UACGUAGGGUCCAAGCGUUAAUCGGAAUUAUUGGGCGUAAAGGGCGCGCAGGCGGCCUCUUAAGUCUGAUGUGAAAUCUUGUGGCUUAACCACAAGCGGUCAUUGGAAACUGAGAAGCUUGAGUGCAGAAGAGGAGAGUGGAAUUCCACGUGUAGCGGUGAAAUGCGUAGAGAUGUGGAGGAACACCAGUGGCGAAGGCGACUCUCUGGUCUGUAACUGACGCUGAGGCGCGAAAGCGUGGGGAGCGAACAGGAUUAGA
rnacentral:rRNA from 1 species